UGGGGAAUUUUGGACAAUGGGGGCAACCCUGAUCCAGCCAUGCCGCGUGCGGGAAGAAGGCCUUCGGGUUGUAAACCGCUUUUGUUCGGGAAGAAAUCGACCUCGCUAAUACCGGGGUUGGAUGACGGUACCGGAAGAAUAAGCACCGGCUAACUACGUGCCAGCAGCCGCGGUAAUACGUAGGGUGCGAGCGUUAAUCGGAAUUACUGGGCGUAAAGCGUGCGCAGGCGGUUUCGCAAGUCAGAUGUGAAAGCCCCGGGCUUAACCUGGGAACUGCAUUUGAAACUACGAGGCUAGAGUGUGUCAGAGGGGGGUAGAAUUCCACGUGUAGCAGUGAAAUGCGUAGAGAUGUGGAGGAAUACCGAUGGCGAAGGCAGCCCCCUGGGAUAACACUGACGCU
rnacentral:rRNA from 1 species